ACGAACGCUGGCGGCGUGCUUAACACAUGCAAGUCGAACGGAAAGGCCCUGCUUUUGUGGGGUGCUCGAGUGGCGAACGGGUGAGUAACACGUGAGUAACCUGCCCUUGACUUUGGGAUAACUUCAGGAAACUGGGGCUAAUACCGGAUAGGAGCUCCUGCUGCAUGGUGGGGGUUGGAAAGUUUCGGCGGUUGGGGAUGGACUCGCGGCUUAUCAGCUUGUUGGUGGGGUAGUGGCUUACCAAGGCUUUGACGGGUAGCCGGCCUGAGAGGGUGACCGGCCACAUUGGGACUGAGAUACGGCCCAGACUCCUACGGGAGGCAGCAGUGGGGAAUAUUGCACAAUGGGCGGAAGCCUGAUGCAGCAACGCCGCGUGCGGGAUGACGGUCUUCGGGUUGUAAACCGCUUUCGCCUGUGACGAAGCGUGAGUGACGGUAAUGGGUAAAGAAGCACCGGCUAACUACGUG
rnacentral:rRNA from 1 species